GUGAGGAAUAUUGGUCAAUGGGCGGGAGCCUGAACCAGCCAAGUCGCGUGAAGGAAGAAGGAUCUAUGGUUCGUAAACUUCUUUUGCAGGGGAAUAAAGUGCGGGACGUGUCCUGUUUUGUAUGUACCCUGAGAAUAAGGAUCGGCUAACUCCGUGCCAGCAGCCGCGGUAAUACGGAGGAUCCGAGCGUUAUCCGGAUUUAUUGGGUUUAAAGGGUGCGUAGGUGGUUAGAUAAGUCAGCGGUGAAAGUUUGCAGCUUAACUGUAAAAAUGCCGUUGAAACUGUCGGACUUGAGUGUAAAUGAGGUAGGCGGAAUGCGUGGUGUAGCGGUGAAAUGCAUAGAUAUCACGCAGAACUCCGAUUGCGAAGGCAGCUUACUAAGCUACAACUGACACUGAAGCACGAAAGCGUGGGGAUCAAACAGGAUUAGAUACCCCAGUAGUCC
rnacentral:rRNA from 1 species